AUAAAAAAAAAUAAAUAAAAAAAAACCUACCCCGGGUUCGACUCAACCACCAGGAUGCCCUUUUCCCCGGACUCGGGAAAGCCACGCACAGCCAGAUGUGGGCGGGCGAACCCGCACGACUCGGGGUCCGUGGAGACGCCACUCUCCAAACACCUGCUUUCACAGGUGUCCCCUGCGGGUUUUUCGUGCCGGACCGUAUCCACAUCCGACUGUCUAAUUAAAACAAAGCUUUGCGAUGGCCACUGGUCGGUGUUGACACAAUGUGAUUUCUGCCCAGUGCUUUGAAUGUCAACGUGAAGAGAUUCAUCAAUGCGCGGGUAAACAGCGGUAGUAACUAUGACUCUCUUUUCUGCUAUGGCAUGCACGCCUUGGACUUCGGGGUGAGAGCAGAUGGUUACUUGCUUGUGCAAAGCCGAACUCUCACCUGCACGUGGUGCCCGCCGCAGGACUAGUGAACCUAAAAGGGGUGCAUCCCUGGUGAUCUCGUCCUCAACGGGAGCUCUCGCACUUCCUGGCAGGGGUAUCCCUGCCCCUGCCAACUGGCUUUGCGAUCUCAUGGAACCCUUUUCCAAACCCCCGCCGACUGGCGGGUGUUCCAAGUCACCCUAGGGCCAGGGCCUUGACCGCCCUAUGACGCCCGGGUGGUUGCCUUGGCACCGGGACUGAUGGCCUCCGAGUGGCUCAGCCAGGACACCAUUCAGGGGUGGCGUCCUCCACUUGUAGCAAAUGCGACGGUUCUGGCACUAACACCCGUGUUUACACAGGGAAUUCGGGUCCCUCUGCCCAAACACGUCACAGUGAUAAUCCUUCGCAUCUCUUCUAGCUUCCGGGAGGAACGCCAGCACGGCCUGGAAUUGUCCUGCCUACCCGGAAACGGGCUUGCUUCCGCCCCUUUUUCUUAAGGCUUGGCACCCCUGGAGCUGCGCUUGCCCUGCCUUUCUUCUGGGUGGAGUUAAAAACAUGGCCCAUGUAAACAUCUCUUGGGUGGGGGUCCGCUUGGCCUCAUCGGGCCCUGUGGCUCCCGGCACUUUAGAGAAACAGGCAAUAGCCAAAUGCCUCGUCAUCUAAUUAGUGACGCGCAUGAAUGGAUUAACGAGAUUCCCACUGUCCCUAUCUACUGCUCUGGCCGCCAGGGGGCCACCUUCACAGAA
rnacentral:ncRNA from 1 species